rnacentral:piRNA from 1 species
UUUCUCCUGUUGAACGUUUCU